rnacentral:rRNA from 1 species
AAUGAACGCUGGCGGCGUGCCUAACACAUGCAAGUCGGAUGUGCCGCAAGGUGCAUGGCCGACGGGUGAGUAACGCGUAGGGAAUCUACCUUUUUGUGGGGAAUAACGCUCCGAAAGGAGUGGUAAUACCGCAUGAGACCGUGAGCUGGGAUGUUCACGGUGAAACCUGGGGACCGCAAGGCCUGGGGCAAAAAGAGGAUCCUGCGUCUGAUUAGCUAGUUGGCGGGGUAAUGGCCCACCAAGGCGACGAUCAGUAGCCGGCCUGAGAGGGUGAUCGGCCACACUGGAACUGAGACACGGUCCAGACUCCUACGGGAGGCAGCAGUGGGGAAUUUUGCGCAAUGGACGAAAGUCUGACGCAGCAACGCCGCGUGGGUGAUGAAGGUCUUCGGACUGUAAAACCCUGUCGUCAGGGACGAAGGUGGCAGUGUUAAUAGCGCUGUUACUUGACGGUACCUGGAGAGGAAGCCCCGGCUAACUCUGUG